rnacentral:rRNA from 1 species
CAGCCGCCACGGGAAUACGGAGGGUGCAAGCGUUAAUCGGAAUUACUGGGCGUAAAGCGCACGCAGGCGGUUUGUUAAGUCAGAUGUGAAAUCCCCGAGCUUAACUUGGGAACUGCAUUUGAAACUGGCAAGCUAGAGUCUUGUAGAGGGGGGUAGAAUUCCAGGUGUAGCGGUGAAAUGCGUAGAGAUCUGGAGGAAUACCGGUGGCGAAGGCGGCCCCCUGGACAAAGACUGACGCUCAGGUGCGAAAGCGUGGGGAGCAAACAGGAUUAGAUACCCCAGUAGUCCCUGUCUCUUAUAC